GAUGAACGCUGGCGGCGUGCCUAAUACAUGCAAGUCGAGCGAACGGACGAGAAGCUUGCUUCUCUGAUGUUAGCGGCGGACGGGUGAGUAACACGUGGAUAACCUACCUAUAAGACUGGGAUAACUUCGGGAAACCGUAGCUAAUACCGGAUAAUAUUUUGAACCGCAUGGUUCAAAAGUGAAAGACGGUCUUGCUGUCACUUAUAGAUGGAUCCGCGCUGCAUUAGCUAGUUGGUAAGGUAACGGCUUACCAAGGCAACGAUGCAUAGCCGACCUGAGAGGGAGGGCAGCAAAGAGGGGACGGAGACACGGAACAGACGGCGAGGGGAGGCAGCAGCGGGGAAAGUUGGGCAAGGGGUGGAAGGUUGAACGACUAUGGCAGAAGGAAAGAAGAAGGGUGUAGGAACGGAAAAAUCGGUUGGCAGAGAAGAACGAGGGGGCGACUGGAAAGUGCACAAAGUGAAGGUAACUAACAAGAAAGGGACGGCUCACUACGUG
rnacentral:rRNA from 1 species